CUCCUGACCUCAGGUGAUCCACUCGCCUCAACCUCUCAAAGUGCUGGGAUUACAGGCGUCAGCCAUUGCACCCGACCAUACCUAGUUUUGUGCACAGUGUCUCCAGUGCUUAUCCCAAUGACUAGAGCGUGGCAGCGCUCAGUUAACGUUUUUUGAAUAAAUGAAUGAAGAAUGGACAUUUGGAUUGAGGCAGUGAAGAGUACUAGUUAAGAGAGUGAGAUUUGGAGCCAGAUAUUCGGAGUGCAAACCCAGACGCAUGACCUUGGAUAGUAUCAUUACCUCUCUCCACCACUGGUUCUCUGCCUAUAACAUGGAAAUAACAAUACCGCCUAUUUCAUAGCGCUAUUGUGAAGAUCAAGUGAGGGACUCUGUGUAAAGAGCUUCAAUCAAAGCCACACUGAUUUGCCUAGAGCCUGGGAGUGUCACUGACGUGCCAUUUCCUGCCCUGACAGCAUCUCCGCUUCCGUCCUGAAACCUUUAUCAAGAAACAACUGUGCAGCCCACGAAUCCAUUCAGUCAAGAUGUAUUGAGUUUCUGCUAUGUGUACUGACUGCGGGGAAAACAGGAUUCUUGUCCUCGAGGAACUAGCUGGGGACUCGGGACAGAGUCAAACACAUGCAACAUGAGGCCUG